UCGGGAAUUUUGGGCAAUGGGCGAAAGCCUGACCCAGCAACGCCGCGUGAAGGAUGAAGUAUUUCGGUAUGUAAACUUCGAAAGAAUGGGAAGAAUAAAUGACGGUACCAUUUAUAAGCUCCGGCUAACUACGUGCCAGCAGCCGCGGUAAUACGUAGGGAGCAAGCGUUGUUCGGAUUUACUGGGCGUAAAGGGCGCGUAGGCGGCGCGGUAAGUCACUUGUGAAAUCUCUGAGCUUAACUCAGAACGGCCAAGUGAUACUGCAGUGCUAGAGUGCAGAAGGGGCAAUCGGAAUUCUUGGUGUAGCGGUGAAAUGCGUAGAUAUCAAGAGGAACACCUGAGGUGAAGACGGGUUGCUGGGCUGACACUGACGCUGAGGCGCGAAAGCCAGGGGAGCAAACGGGAUUAGAUACCCAUGUAGUCCCUGAGCGGGCUGGCAAGGCGCAU
rnacentral:rRNA from 1 species